AUGUUCCCUGUAGCUCUGCUGCUGCUGCUGGCAGCUGUUUCCUGUGUUCAGUCUCAGGUUGUUCUCACACAACCAGGAUCAGAGACGGGAUCUCCAGGAGGUUCCCUCACAUUAAAAUGUGCCUGCAGUGGAUUCAGUGUUGGGGGCACUGACAUGUACUGGAUCAGACAGGCUCCAGGAAAAGGACUUGAGUGGAUCAUCUACUACUACUCUGAUACAGACAAGAGCACAGCGCAAUCUGUACAGGACGGAUUCCGGGCAUCUAAAGACAGCUCUAAUCUGUACCUGCACAUGAAAACUGAGGACACUUCAGUUUAUUACUGUGUGAAAGAUACACUACUGGAUGCACUGGAUCUGUCAGCCACCAGGGAGAGGACUGCAGUGGUUUGGGUCAUUUACACUGGUACUGGCACUGCCUUCUCAGAGUCCUUCAAGGGCCAGUUCUCCAUCACCAAAGACUGUACUUGGAGCUGCUCCUCCACUUUGGGACAACAGAAUCACCAUACUGAGUGCUCUGCAGGAGUGGAGUGGAUACACACCUUCACACUACCUGCCCCAGGCCACUUUGUCGUAAUGAAGAGCAGGACUGAGACACUGAAGAGCUCCUUGACCAGCAACUAA